AGAGGAUGACCAGCCACACUGGAACUGAGACACGGUCCAGACUCCUACGGGAGGCAGCAGUGGGGAAUAUUGCACAAUGGGCGCAAGCCUGAUGCAGCCAUGCCGCGUGUAUGAAGAAGGCCUUCGGGUUGUAAAGUACUUUCAGCGGGGAGGAAGGGAGUAAAGUUAAUACCUUUGCUCAUUGACGUUACCCGCAGAAGAAGCACCGGCUAACUCCGUGCCAGCAGCCGCGGUAAUACGGAGGGUGCAAGCGUUAAUCGGAAUUACUGGGCGUAAAGCGCACGCAGGCGGUUUGUUAAGUCAGAUGUGAAAUCCCCGGGCUCAACCUGGGAACUGCAUCUGAUACUGGCAAGCUUGAGUCUCGUAGAGGGGGGUAGAAUUCCAGGUGUAGCGGUGAGAUGCGUAGAG
rnacentral:rRNA from 1 species